UGGGGAAUAUUGGGCAAUGGGCGCAAGCCUGAUCCAGCCAUGCCGCGUGGAUGAUGAAGGCCCUAGGGUUGUAAAGUCCUUUUAACGGGGAAGAUAAUGACGGUACCCGUAGAAUAAGCCCCGGCUAACUUCGCGCCAGCAGCCGCGGUAAUACGUAGGGGGCUAGCGUUGCUCGGAAUCACUGGGCGUAAAGGGUGCGUAGGCGGAUCUUUAAGUCAGGGGUGAAAUCCUGGAGCUCAACUCCAGAACUGCCUUUGAUACUGAGGAUCUCGAGUUCGGGAGAGGUGAGUGGAACUGCGAGUGUAGAGGUGAAAUUCGUAGAUAUUCGCAAGAACACCAGUGGCGAAGGCGGCUCACUGGCCCGAUACUGACGCUGAGGCACGAAAGCGUGGGGAGCAAAC
rnacentral:rRNA from 1 species